rnacentral:rRNA from 1 species
GAUGAACGCUGGCGGCGUGCCUAAUACAUGCAAGUCGAGCGAAUGGAUUAAGAGCUUGCUCUUAUGAAGUUAGCGGCGGACGGGUGAGUAACACGUGGGUAACCUGCCCAUAAGACUGGGAUAACUCCGGGAAACCGGGGCUAAUACCGGAUAACAUUUUGAGCCGCAUGGUUCGAAAUUGAAAGGCGGCUUCGGCUGUCACUUAUGGAUGGACCCGCGUCGCAUUAGCUAGUUGGUGAGGUAACGGCUCACCAAGGCAACGAUGCGUAGCCGACCGGAGAGGGGGAGCGGCCACACUGGGACUGAAACACGGCCCAGACUCCUACGGGAGGCAGCAGUAGGGAAUCUUCCGCAAUGGACGAAAGUCUGACGGAGCAACGCCGCGUGAGUGAUGAAGGCUUUCGGGUCGUAAAACUCUGUUGUUAGGGAAGAACAAGUGCUAGUUGAAUAAGCUGGCACCUUGACGGUACCUAACCAGAAAGCACCGGCUAACUACGUGCCAGCCGCCGCCGUAA